GCCAGGCAUGGUGGUGCAUGCCUGUAGCCCCAGCUACUUAGGGGGCUGAGAUGGGAGGAUCACUUGAGCCCAGGAGGUCGAGGCUGCAGUGAGCCGAGAUCCUGCCACUGCACUCCAGCCUGAGUGACAAACUGAGACUCCAUCUCAA
ensembl:misc_RNA Metazoa_SRP Metazoan signal recognition particle RNA